CAGUCGCCGCGGUAAAACGUAGGGUGCAAGCGUUAAUCGGAAUUACUGGGCGUAAAGCGUGCGCAGGCGGUGUUGUAAGACUGAUGUGAAAUCCCCGGGCUCAACCUGGGAACUGCAUUGGUGACUGCAGCGCUGGAGUGCGGCAGAGGGGGAUGGAAUUCCGCGUGUAGCAGUGAAAUGCGUAGAUAUGCGGAGGAACACCGAUGGCGAAGGCAAUCCCCUGGGCCUGCACUGACGCUCAUGCACGAAAGAGUGGGGAGCAAACAGGAUUAGAUACCCCAGUAGUCCCUGUCUCUUAUAC
rnacentral:rRNA from 1 species